UACGUAGGGUCCAAGCGUUGUCCGGAGUUACUGGGCGUAAAGCGCGCGCAGGCGGUCUACUAAGCCCGGCGUGAAAGCCCCCGGCUCAACCGGGGAGGGUCGUCGGGGACUGGUGGACUUGAGGGCGGCAGGGGCUGGUGGAAUUCCCGGUGUAGUGGUGAAAUGCGUAGAGAUCGGGAGGAACACCAGUGGCGAAGGCGGUUGCCUGGAGCUUUGCUGACGCUGAGGCGCGAAAGCGUGGGGAGCGAUCCGG
rnacentral:rRNA from 1 species